rnacentral:rRNA from 1 species
UACGUAGGGUGCAAGCGUUUGUCCGGAAUUAUUGGGCGUAAAGAGCUCGUAGGCGGUCUGUCGCGUCUGCUGUGAAAACCUAGGGCUUAACUCUGGGCGUGCAGUGGGUACGGGCAGGCUAGAGUGCGGUAGGGGAGACUGGAAUUCCUGGUGUAGCGGUGAAAUGCGCAGAUAUCAGGAGGAACACCGGUGGCGAAGGCGGGUCUCUGGGCCGUAACUGACGCUGAGGAGCGAAAGCAUGGGGGAGCGAACAGG